CAUUCUCAGUUCGGAUUGUAGGCUGCAACUCGCCUACAUGAAGCCGGAAUCGCUAGUAAUCGCGGAUCAGCAUGCCGCGGUGAAUACGUUCCCGGGCCUUGUACACACCGCCCGUCACACCACGAGAGUUUGUAACACCCGAAGUCGGUGAGGUAACCUUUUGGAGCCAGCCGCCGAAGGUGGGACAGAUGAUUGGGGUGAAGUCGUAACAAGGUAGCCGUAUCGGAAGGUGCGGCUGGAUCACCUCCUUU
rnacentral:rRNA from 1 species